GAAUUUUUAGUUUAAUUAGAAUAUAUCACUUACAAUGAUAAGGUUUAAAAUUCU
rnacentral:tRNA from 1 species